GGAAGUAAAAUCGUAACAAGGUUUCCGUGGGUGAACCUGCGGAAGGAUCAUUAUUGUAUAACCGAGGUGCGAGGGCUGUCGCUGACCCGAAAGGUCGUGCACGCCCGAGUGCCCUCACACACAUCCAUCUCACCCCUAUGUGCACCACCGCGUGGGUCCCCCUUUGGCUUGUUCGGAGGGGGGCUUACGUUUUCACACAAACUUUGUAUGCAGUGUAGAAUGUGCUUUUUGUUUUUGCGAUCACGCAAUCAAUACAACUUUCAACAACGGAUCUCUUGGCUCUC
rnacentral:misc_RNA from 1 species